GACGGCAGCACGGACUUCGGUCUGGUGGCGAGUGGCGAACGGGUGUAGUAUACAUCGGAACGUACCCAGUAAUGGGGGAUAACUAUUCGAAAGAUUAGCUAAUACCGCAUACGCCCUACGGGGGAAAGAGGGGGAUCGCAAGACCUCUUGUUAUUGGAGCGGCCGAUGGCUGAUUAGCUAGUUGGUGGGGUAAAGGCCUACCAAGGCGACGAUCAGUAGCGGGUCUUAGAGGACGAUCCGCCACACUGGAACUGAGACACGGUCCAGACUCCUACGGGAGGCAGCAGUGGGGAAUCUUGGACAAUGGGCGAAAGCCUGAUCCAGCAAUGCCGCGUGCGUGAAGAAGGCCUUCGGGUUGUAAAGCGCUUUUGUCUGGGAGCAAAUCCUUGUGGCUAAUACCCACCGGGGAUGAGAGUACCAGAAGAAUAAGGACCGGCUAACUACGUGCCAGCAGCCGCGGUAAUACGUAGGGUCCAAGCGUUAAUCGGAAUUACUGGGCGUAAAGCGUGCGCAGGUGGUUUGUUAAGCGCGAUGUGAAAUCCCCGAGCUCAACUCGGGAAUUGCAUUGCGAACUGACUGACUAGAGUACGGCAGAGGGGGGUGGAAUUCCACGUGUAGCAGUGAAAUGCGUAGAGAUGUGGAGGAACACCGAUGGCGAAAGCAACCCCCUGGGCUGAUACUGACACUCAUGCACGAAAGCGUGGGGAGCAAACAGGAUUAAAUACCCCUGGUAGUCCACGCCCUAAACGAUGUCUACUAGUUGUUGG
rnacentral:rRNA from 1 species